AAGUCGUAACAAGGUUUCCGUAGGUGAACCUGCGGAAGGAUCAUUAUCGAAUUCUGAGGGGGGGAAGAUGGGAAGUGGAGAUUGUCGCUGGCCCUCCUUGGGGGGCAUGUGCACAUCUUCCUUUUCGUUGACCCCCCUUUCUCACACACACACACCUGUGCACCUAUUGUAGGUCCUCGAAAGAGGAUCUAUGUUUUUCAUAUCACACCCAUCGUAUGUCUAUAGAAUGUAUUGAAAUAAUAAAUCAUACAACUUUCAGCAACGGAUCUCUUGGCUCUC
rnacentral:misc_RNA from 1 species